rnacentral:ribozyme from 1 species
UUCGAGUUCAGAGAACCAAACAAAAAUACCUGCAAGCUAGGCCAAUAAAAAUAGCCAUCAAAAAAAAAGAGAAGAAAAGAGAAGAAGAAAAAAAAAGGGAGGGGGGUGUUUUUUGUUAUCUGGUUUGUGCGUGAUUGUGAUUUUUGUAGUCUUAUCUUUUGUC